ACUUAAGCAUAUCAAUAAGCGGAGGAAAAGAAACCAACAGGGAUUGCCCUAGUAACGGCGAGUGAAGCGGCAACAGCUCAAAUUUGAAAUCUGGCGCAAGCCCGAGUUGUAAUUUGUAGAGGAUGCUUCUGGGUAGCGGCCGGUCUAAGUUCCUUGGAACAGGACGUCAUAGAGGGUGAGAAUCCCGUAUGUGACUGGCUUGCACCCUCCACGUAGCUCCUUCGACGAGUCGAGUUGUUUGGGAAUGCAGCUCUAAAUGGGAGGUAAAUUUCUUCUAAAGCUAAAUACCGGCCAGAGACCGAUAGCGCACAAGUAGAGUGAUCGAAAGAUGAAAAGCACUUUGGAAAGAGAGUUAAAAAGCACGUGAAAUUGUUGAAAGGGAAGCGCCCGCAACCAGACUUUGCGGCAGUGUUCGGCCGGUCUUCUGACCGGUUUACUCGCUGUCGUGAGGCCAUCAUCGUCUGGGACCGCUGGAUAAGACCUUAGGAAUGUAGCUUCCCUCGGGAAGUGUUAUAGCCUCUGGUGAUGCAGCGCGUCUCGGGCGAGGUCCGCGCUUCGGCAAGGAUGAUGGCGUAAUGGUUGUCGGCGGCCCGUCUUGAAACACGGACCAAGGAGUCUAACAUCUAUGCGAGUGUUCGGGUGUCAAACCCCUACGCGUAAUGAAAGUGAACGGAGGUGGGAACUUUUUGUGCACCAUCGACCGAUCCUGAUGUCCUCGGAUGGAUUUGAGUAAGAGCAUAGCUGUUGGGACCCGAAAGAUGGUGAACUAUGCCUGAAUAGGGUGAAGCCAGAGGAAACUCUGGUGGAGGCUCGCAGCGGUUCUGACGUGCAAAUCGAUCGUCAAAUUUGGGUAUAGGGGCGAAAGACUAAUCG
rnacentral:rRNA from 1 species